rnacentral:sRNA from 1 species
GCCAGGUGUAGUGGUGCAUACCUAUAAUCCCAGCUACUUGGGGGCUGAGGCAGGAGGAUCAUAAGUUAGGGGCCAGCUUUAGCAACUUAAUGAGACUUUGUCACAA